UGGGGGAUAGUUUAACCGGCAGAACAGCGGACUCUGGAUCCGUCAGUCCUGGUUCAAAUCCAGGUCCCCCAGCC
rnacentral:tRNA from 1 species